CUGACAGCCCCAAGGGCUGAAGCCCUCUCCUAACCACAGAAAAGAUAUAGUGAAAGCAGUAGUGGGAUAUACCUCACCACAUUGCCAUGCACAUAUAGGCCUCAAGCCUGUUUCUGAGGGGUCACUUCUAAACUGGCAGAAUAAUUCAAUAGUACAUCCCUCACUGCUUAUCUGGAUUUGGAGGAG
ensembl:misc_RNA